AGAUGCUUCCUAUGGGAAUGUGUGUCGUAUUUAUACAGCAUCGUCUUUGAUGUGCUCAAAGAGUUUUGCAGACGGUAUAGACUUCAUCUGCACCACCCAUGAAGCAGGUUGGGAGAAAAGUGAGUCUUGUUUAUGAAUGAGUACAGGAGUGGAAGGAAGGACUGCUCAGAGCCUCACAGUGGGGCUAUGUUCAAAGAUGUGAGGAAAAGGGUCAGUUUCAUGGUGUCUGCAGGGGAAUUUUAACCUCUAAACUUUUGAUUUCCCAGGAUAUGUAGUACUCUGUGACCCCUCUACCCACUUCCAGUUCUUGAAUUUCACCACCAAGUCCACAAUUGCAGAGUGUGCCACAGAGCCUGGAGAUUCGACUCUGACUGGCAGGGCAAAGCCUUGGCUUUGGGACCUGGCCUUGAUGUUUAUGAGGAAGAUGUCUUUGAGAAACUCAAUUGACCUAUUUGACAUUCAGUUUCUUCCUUCAUGAGAAGAAUAGGUAAUCCCUGCCCAACAGAGAUGAUAUGGUAGGGUCCUUAUUAUAGGGUCUGAUGCAUAAUAGGUUCUUAAAAGCUACGUCAGUGAGACUAUACCCUUGAAGGUCAUAGAGGCACAGUGCCAUCUACCUGUCUUCCUCCAUUGAGAUGGAAGAACCUGGCCAUAGGCUUCUAAAGGAAUGAUUCCAGUAAAAACAAAGUCACUAUUAUAAAGUUUUCUUUUUAGGCACCUUCAUUAUAAGGAUGGUAUUGCCAAAUAGUGAACUUUUGAAUGUGGCAAUAGUUAACAGAGUUAAAAAGUAUGUUUGUUAGUGUCCUCUAUCGCUAUGAUGAAACAUUGAAGACAGUCACUUAUCACAGGGAAGGUUGGCUUGGGCUAUGACGAAACAUUGAAGACAGUCACUUAUCACAGGGAAGGUUGGCUUGGGCCAUGACAAAACAUUGAAGACAGUCACUUAUCACAGGGAAGGUUGGCUUGGGCUAUGACGAAACAUUGAAGACAGUCACUUAUCACAGGGAAGGUUGGCUUGGGCCAUGACAAAACAUUGAAGACAGUCACUUAUCACAGGGAGGUUGGCUUGGGCCAUGACGAAACAUUGAAGACAGUCACUUAUCACAGGAAGGUUGGCUUGGGCUUAUAGUUUCAGUCUUUGGUCAUUGGGCUGCUUGGGUUCUGGAUUACAAUGAGGCAGAAAUCAAGGUUUGAGAAGAAAGUGGAGCUGAGUUGCUCAGCUGAUGGUGACUAGGAAGUAGGGGUGGUGGUCAUGGGCAAAAUGUCUCAAUCAAGGGAAUACCCAUAGUGACCUACUUCCUCCCACGGGGCCUCAUCUCUAAAGUUCCCACCAGCGCUGUCUCUGAAUAUGUCACCUGCUGAGGACACGAGGUUUGGGGGACAUUGUGACUCCUAACCACAACAGAGCCAAGCCUGGAGGAUGCUGUGCUCUUUGUACAGAAGUGGACCAGUUUGCUGAGGACCAGUGGCCACGGUGAGGCAGGAUUGUAAUACAGUUCGUUCUGAGCUGAACCAUCUCCAGUGGGAGACAGAUAAAGUCCCAAGGUGAGAGAAGGCAUGCUGUGGUGACACGUAAGGGGAGGGGGUAGAGCGAAGAAGUGACAGAAACUAUAGACGCUUAAUGGUGCUCUUUGGGGGUCUUGUCUUUAAAUAGUUCCUAGGACGUGCUACUGUGUGACAGGCAUCAACCUCCCUUCUGAAGCACACAUUUACCUAAGAAAGCCAGUGACAAGCAUAGCAGAGUUAUCAAUGACUGCAAAGUACUCAUUGUGCUCCUAGUGAUGUAAGUAUUAAACUAGCAGUUCUCAUUGUUGGAUUCGGGAGAUGCUCAGUGGGUAAAAUGUUCACUAUGGAAGCAUGAGGGCUAGAGUUCAAAUCUUCAGCACCCACAUUAAGGGCCAGAUGUGUAACCUCAGCACUACAGAGCCAGAGACAGGUGGAUCUUGGAAGUUCCCUGUGGAUCUUAGUCAAAAUGGAGAACUACAGCUUCAGUGAGAGACUGCCUGAAAACACUACGGUGGAGAGCAGUGGAAGAAGACACUUGACAUCCAUAUUUGGUUUCACUGUUCAUGCACAGUGAAGUAAAUGUGCACAUAUGAACACACACUCACAUAAAAUCACAUACCCACACAUUCAUAUACAUGCAUACAAUACACACAUUUACCC
rnacentral:lncRNA from 1 species